GAUGAACGCUAGCUACAGGCUUAACACAUGCAAGUCGAGGGGCAGCAUUUCAGUUUGCUUGCAAACUGGAGAUGGCGACCGGCGCACGGGUGAGUAACACGUAUCCAACCUGCCGAUAACUCGGGGAUAGCCUUUCGAAAGAAAGAUUAAUACAAGAUGGCAUCAUGAGUCCGCAUGUUCACAUGAUUAAAGGUAUUCCGGUAGACGAUGGGGAUGCGUUCCAUUAGAUAGUAGGCGGGGUAACGGCCCACCUAGUCUUCGAUGGAUAGGGGUUCUGAGAGGAAGGUCCCCCACAUUGGAACUGAGACACGGUCCAAACUCCUACGGGAGGCGGCAGUGAGGAAUAUUGGUCAAUGGGCGAGAGCCUGAACCAGCCAAGUUGCGUGAAGGAUGACUGCCCUAUGGGUUGUAAACUUCUUUUAUAAAGGAAUAAAGUCGGGUAUGGAUACCCGUUUGCAUGUACUUUAUGAAUAAGGAUCGGCUAACUCCGUGCCAGCAGCCGCGGUAAUACGGAGGAUCCGAGCGUUAUCCGGAUUUAUUGGGUUUAAAGGGAGCGUAGAUGGAUGUUUAAGUCAGUUGUGAAAGUUUGCGGCUCAGCCGUAAAAUUGCAGUUGAUACUGGAUAUCUUGAGUGCAGUUGAGGCAGGCGGAAUUCGUGGUGUAGCGGUGAAAUGCUUAGAUAUCACGAAGAACUCCGAUUGCGAAGGCAGCCUGCUAAGCUGCAACUGACAUUGAGGCUCGAAAGUGUGGGUAUCAAACAGGAUUAGAUACCCUGGUAGUCCACACGGUAAACGAUGAAUACUCGCUGUUUGCGAUAUACAGCAAGCGGCCAAGCGAAAGCGUUAAGUAUUCCACCUGGGGAGUACGCCGGCAACGGUGAAACUCAAAGGAAUUGACGGGGGCCCGCACAAGCGGAGGAACAUGUGGUUUAAUUCGAUGAUACGCGAGGAACCUUACCCGGGCUUAAAUUGCAGAUGAAUUACGGUGAAAGCCGUAAGCCGCAAGGCAUCUGUGAAGGUGCUGCAUGGUUGUCGUCAGCUCGUGCCGUGAGGUGUCGGCUUAAGUGCCAUAACGAGCGCAACCCUUGUUGUCAGUUACUAACAGGUUCCGCUGAGGACUCUGACAAGACUGCCAUCGUAAGAAGUGAGGAAGGUGGGGAUGACGUCAAAUCAGCACGGCCCUUACGUCCGGGGCUACACACGUGUUACAAUGGGGGGUACAGAGGGCCGCUACCACGCGAGUGGAUGCCAAUCCCCAAAACCUCUCUCAGUUCGGACUGGAGUCUGCAACCCGACUCCACGAAGCUGGAUUCGCUAGUAAUCGCGCAUCAGCCACGGCGCGGUGAAUACGUUCCCGGGCCUUGUACACACCGCCCGUCAAGCCAUGGGAGCCGGGGGUACCUGAAGUGCGUAACCGCGAGGAGCGCCCUAGGGUAAAACUGGUGACUGGGGCUAAGA
rnacentral:rRNA from 1 species